UCCGAGUUGACCCCGGCAGUCUCCUAUGAGUCCCCGGCAUUACCCGCUGGCAACAUGAGACAAGGGUUGCGCUCGUUGCGGGACUUAACCCAACAUCUCACGACACGAGCUGACGACAGCCAUGCAGCACCUGUGUACUGGUUCUCUUUCGAGCACGAAACCAUCUCUGGUAACUUCUAGACAUGUCAAGGGUAGGUAAGGUUUUUCGCGUUGCAUCGAAUUAAUCCACAUCAUCCACCGCUUGUGCGGGUCCCCGUCAAUUCCUUUGAGUUUUAACCUUGCGGCCGUACUCCCCAGGCGGUCAACUUCUCGCGUUAGCUACGGUACUAAAAGGUUUUACCCUCCCAACACCUAGUUGACAUCGUUUAGGGCGUGGACUAC
rnacentral:misc_RNA from 1 species